UACGUAGGGUGCGAGCGUUAAUCGGAAUUACUGGGCGUAAAGCGUGCGCAGGCGGUUAUGCAAGACAGAUGUGAAAUCCCCGGGCUCAACCUGGGAAUUGCAUUCGAGACUGCGUAGCUAGGGUGCGGAAGAGGGAAGCGGAAUUUCCGGUGUAGCGGUGAAAUGCGUAGAUAUCGGAAGGAACACCAGUGGCGAAAGCGGCUUCCUGGUCCAGCACCGACGUUCAGGCACGAAAGCGUGGGGAGCAAACAGG
rnacentral:rRNA from 1 species